rnacentral:rRNA from 1 species
UACGAAGGGGGCUAGCGUUGUUCGGAUUUACUGGGCGUAAAGCGCACGUAGGCGGAUCUUUAAGUCAGAGGUGAAAUCCCAAGGCUCAACCUUGGAACUGCCUUUGAUACUGGGGAUCUUGAGUCCGGGAGAGGUGAGUGGAACUCCGAGUGUAGAGGUGAAAUUCGUAGAUAUUCGGAAGAACACCAGUGGCGAAGGCGACUCACUGGCCCGUUACUGACGCUGAGGCGCGAAAGCGUGGGGAGCAAACAGG